rnacentral:lncRNA from 1 species
GGCUCAAAAUGCUUUCAGAAGGUGACACUUGCGAAGAACAAGGCACCCGUAAGAUUGACACCAAGCCGCAAAAUGGUGCUCAUGUUACGCACGCGGAUCAACCCAGCAUACCAUGUGCAACCCUUCGUGGUAGCCCGCGCAACGUGUACGUGUGGCCCAAAACCUAAAAAAUGCAGCAGCAUAAGAAGAACAUCUAUCACCGAGAGGCAAGUCCAAGCCCACAUAGGGGAGAAGACCCGAUCCGAAGAAGUUUGGAUCCAGUGAAGUGGUUUCUUACUUC